UGAGGAAUAUUGCACAAUGGGCGCAAGCCUGAUGCAGCAACGCCGCGUGCGGGACGACGGCCUUCGGGUUGUAAACCGCUUUUCUGAGGGACAAGCGAGGACGGUACCUUAGGCAUAAGUCUCGGCUAACUACGUGCCAGCAGCCGCGGUAAAACGUAGGAGGCGAGCGUUAUCCGGAUUUACUGGGCGUAAAGCGCACGCAGGUGGCCGUGUAAGUUGGACGUGAAAGCUCCUGGCUUAACUGGGAGAGGUCGUUCGAUACUGCGGGGCUUGAGAGUGGGAGAGGGGUGUGGGAUUCCCGGUGUAGAGGUGGAAUGCGUGGAGAUCGGGAGAGACACCUGAGGCGAAGGCAGCACCCUGGCCCACACCUGACACUGAGGUGCGAAAGCGUGGGGAG
rnacentral:rRNA from 1 species